UACGUAGGGCGCGAGCGUUGUCCGGAAUUAUUGGGCGUAAAGAGCUCGUAGGCGGCUUGUUGCGUCUGCUGUGAAAUCCCGGGGCUUAACCCCGGGCGUGCAGUGGAUACGGGCAGGCUGGAGGCAGGCAGGGGAGAAUGGAAUUCCCGGUGUAGCGGUGAAAUGCGCAGAUAUCGGGAGGAACACCGGUGGCGAAGGCGGCCUUCUGGACCAAUACUGACGCUCAUGCACGAAAGCGUGGGGAGCAAACAGG
rnacentral:rRNA from 1 species